CAGCCGCCACGGUAAUACGGAGGGAGCUAGCGUUGUUCGGAAUUACUGGGCGUAAAGCGCGCGUAGGCGGUUACUCAAGUCAGAGGUGAAAGCCCGGGGCUCAACCCCGGAACUGCCUUUGAAACUAGGUGACUAGAAUCUUGGAGAGGUCAGUGGAAUUCCGAGUGUAGAGGUGAAAUUCGUAGAUAUUCGGAAGAACACCAGUGGCGAAGGCGACUGACUGGACAAGUAUUGACGCUGAGGUGCGAAAGCGAGGGGAGCAAACAGGAUUAGAUACCCCCGUAGUCCCUGUCUCUUAUAA
rnacentral:rRNA from 1 species